rnacentral:rRNA from 1 species
ACGCUAGCUACAGGCUUAACACAUGCAAGUCGAGGGGCAGCAUUUUAGUUUGCUUGCAAACUAAAGAUGGCGACCGGCGCACGGGUGAGUAACACGUAUCCAACCUGCCGAUAACUCGGGGAUAGCCUUUCGAAAGAAAGAUUAAUAUCCGAUAGUAUAUUAAAACCGCAUGGUUUUACUAUUAAAGAAUUUCGGUUAUCGAUGGGGAUGCGUUCCAUUAGUUUGUUGGCGGGGUAACGGCCCACCAAGACUACGAUGGAUAGGGGUUCUGAGAGGAAGGUCCCCCACAUUGGAACUGAGACACGGUCCAAACUCCUACGGGAGGCAGCAGUGAGGAAUAUUGGUCAAUGGACGAGAGUCUGAACCAGCCAAGUAGCGUGAAGGAUGACUGCCCUAUGGGUUGUAAACUUCUUUUAUAUGGGAAUAAAGUAUUCCACGUGUGGAAUUUUGUAUGUACCAUAUGAAUAAGGAUCGGCUAACUCCGUGCCAGCAGCCGCGGUAAUACGGAGGAUCCGAGCGUUAUCCGGAUUUAUUGGGUUUAAAGGGAGCGUAGGUGGAUUGUUAAGUCAGUUGUGAAAGUUUGCGGCUCAACCGUAAAAUUGCAGUUGAAACUGGCAGUCUUGAGUACAGUAGAGGUGGGCGGAAUUCGUGGUGUAGCGGUGAAAUGCUUAGAUAUCACGAAGAACUCCGAUUGCGAAGGCAGCUCACUAGACUGCAACUGACACUGAUGCUCGAAAGUGUGGGUAUCAAACAGGAUUAGAUACCCUGGUAGUCCACACAGUAAACGAUGAAUACUCGCUGUUUGCGAUAUACAGUAAGCGGCCAAGCGAAAGCAUUAAGUAUUCCACCUGGGGAGUACGCCGGCAACGGUGAAACUCAAAGGAAUUGACGGGGGCCCGCACAAGCGGAGGAACAUGUGGUUUAAUUCGAUGAUACGCGAGGAACCUUACCCGGGCUUAAAUUGCAUUUAAAUAAUCUGGAAACAGGUUAGCCGCAAGGCAAAUGUGAAGGUGCUGCAUGGUUGUCGUCAGCUCGUGCCGUGAGGUGUCGGCUUAAGUGCCAUAACGAGCGCAACCCUUAUCUUUAGUUACUAACAGGUCAUGCUGAGGACUCUAGAGAGACUGCCGUCGUAAGAUGUGAGGAAGGUGGGGAUGACGUCAAAUCAGCACGGCCCUUACGUCCGGGGCUACACACGUGUUACAAUGGGGGGUACAGAAGGCAGCUACCUGGCGACAGGAUGCUAAUCCCAAAAACCUCUCUCAGUUCGGAUCGAAGUCUGCAACCCGACUUCGUGAAGCUGGAUUCGCUAGUAAUCGCGCAUCAGCCAUGGCGCGGUGAAUACGUUCCCGGGCCUUGUACACACCGCCCGUCAAGCCAUGAAAGCCGGGGGUACCUGAAGUACGUAACCGCAAGGAGCGUCCUAGGGUAAAACUGGUAAUUGG